rnacentral:lncRNA from 1 species
GAUGGUCAAUUGUAUUUGCUUCCGAUCGCAUUACAUUAUUGGUUACUGAUGAAGGUUGAAAAACAGUUAUUUUCAUAUGUCAAUUUGGACCAAAUUACACCCUUUACUACUCGGAAUGAGCUUAGAAUCAAGCAAAACUCAAUAAAUGAGUUUGUAGAGAGUCAAAAGUUGUUUUUAGCGAUUUUAUGCUUAUUUUGCAUUGUUUUGUAGCUAAUUUGAGAAAAGUAAGAAUGGAGUUGAAGAUACAGGUCGUUGACUCAAGAAAAGAGCAGAAAAACGAAGUUUUGAAGAGUCGACGUACCGCCCAGCGACACACUUAAACCGUCGGGCGGUCCAGGACGAGGAGUAGGCAGGGCAUUUGACACUGAGGGAAACCGCCGGGCGCUGGCGAUUGCCGCCGAGCGGUGGCGGCAGGUUAUGGGAAACCGUCGGGCGGCACACUUAAACUGCCCGGCGGUGGCUCGCUGGACUUGGGUUUGUUUUUGACGCGCUCCUCACCUAUAAAUACCCCUAUUACGAAUUUAGAGUCAUUCUUUUGACAGGGGAGAACGGCCAGACCUAAUUUUGCUCUCUGAAGAGGAUCUCUUGGAUGCUUAGGCUCCUUUUCAUCUUUUCUAGGGUUUGCUCUUCCAUUCUUCUUCCAUUUUUCAUCUAGUUUCACCAUGUCUAUGGUGAACUAAACCCUAUAAUUGUUGGGAAAAACAAUGUAAUCUUUUGAUACUCUCUCUUAUUGAAACUAUUGAUUAUUUAUAUCGUCUCCAUAUGUUUUGAUUGAUUAUUGUUGGGUUAUCAUCUGUGCUUAAGGCCUUUAUCAUUUAACUCAUUCGGUAUAUUGAUGUUUGUCUUUAUUGAUAUGGGGACGUACAGUAAUGACAUGAACUGGUGAGUAAUCUCUUGAUUUUGCAAUACCACCUAGGGAUAGGGCUAGGACGAUCAAUUGCGCUAACUUCUGUUUAUAAUGCGGUAUUAAUUACUAGGGGAGGCUAAGGAUAGCAAGUCGGUAGUUAAUAUUAGGCCCUUUUCGCCGAGGGAUCUGGUUAAGGGGAGGCUAAGAAAGUCGUAUAACAAUUGAAUCAAUCAACUAAUGGUCAAGGGUAGUAUGUAAGAGAGAGUGGAAUAGAUGAAAUUAUUAGUACCCAACAACAUCCAUCCAUCCAGUGUUUUCGUUUGUUAAUUGAAUCAACUUUAUUUUUGCAUGUUAAUAUUUUUAUCCUCAAAUCCAAUUUAUUAAUUUUUAUUUUUCAAGUCUUAUUAUUUUAAUUCACGUGAACGAGGAAGCCAUACGAGUUUCUUGGGAAAACGAUAAUUGGUCUUACCAUUUAUAUUACUUGUACGAUUUGGUACACUUGCCAAUUUGUCAACAAGAUUUUGGUGCCGUUGCUGGGGACUCGAGGUUUAUUUUUCUUGUAGUGUGAAUUGAUUGAAUUUGACUUGAUUUUAUGUUUAUUUUUAUUUUUGUUCUAAUAAAUGUUUUCUAGGGUUUUGUGCCUAAUGUUUGCAGAAUGCAGUUUAGACAAGAAUUUGAUUAUGUGGGCACUCAAUUCUACCAAAAUGAUUUCAACCACUGUGGGGAUCCUUAUUCAAAAAUAUACCGAAACCAGUUAGGGCAUCAAUCCUCUUCACGAAAAGAAACGAUAGGGGAAGCUAAAGAACGUUUACGGCAGGAACUAUUCUCUGUACCAGAAGAAACGUUGGGGGAAGUCUAACAAUUCUUGCGGCAACACGUAUUCUCUGGACCAAAAGAAACGUUGGGGGAAGCUCAAUAACGUUUACAACAAAAACAAUCUCCUGUACGCAAAGAAACAUUGGGGGAAGCUCAAGAACGUCUAUUGUAGGAACAACACUCUCAUGUUUUGAAGUCUCUGGGCAUUAUUAGGGAUAAUACUGAAGUUAACCCUGAAAAAGAAUAUCAAGCCACUAUCUCUAAAAAUGAUAAGGUUGUCAAGGAGGAAAAGAUAGAGGAAGAAGAGAAAGAGAGAGAUUUAAAAGAAGAAGGAAAAGAAGAGUUGGUUGAGGAAGAUAAAGAUGAUGAGGGAGAAAAAGGAGUGGUUAAGAAAAAAGAAAAAAAGAAAAAAUAUUCAAAAAUAAAGAAGAAAAGAAGAAAAGAGAAAAGAGGAAAGUUGAGGAGAGAGAAGAAAAGGAAGAGAGGUAAAAAGAAAAGAUCUUGUGAAAAACCCCUUCCUCAUAAAAAGAAAUAUCAUAGUAAGGAA